UGAUCCUCAGCAUACUGUACGUUGAACCGAAGCGGUCACGUUUUUGUUGUUGUGGCUGUGGGUUUGUUGGCACUUCCUCAUCAACCUUUCCUUCUUCCCACUAUUUCGAGUGGCUUUUCGUGGUCGUUAUCGUCGCUGUUGCUGUGUCCGUAGGAAAGGAGGAAGGGUCGGCCCCCUGUCCCUUCUAUACCCCGAGGUGCAGCUAGCUCAUUGAGCUGUACGACAAGGUCCACCGUCGGAUGCACAUACCAUAUUCAGACGAAUGAUUAGGAGCAGGAAAAAGAUGGUACUGCUUGUGCUAUGUGCUUUCGAAUUUGAUGUGCCCAUAUCAGCGUCCUGUUAAAAGUUUUGCUUGAUCAGAAUGCUUAGUCUGUUCUCUUGUUUGAUGCUCAUCACUUGGUCAAUGUACUUCCUCUAUUCGAUUGCUUCUAGCUCAAGAUGGUGUUGCAACCAAAAAGUAAGCACGAUUUCAUAGAACUAAAGCCUUGGUGUCUGGAUCUUUUUUGCAAAAAGAUUCGACUCCGAUUCCUGUAACGGCACUCAGUAUAAACCGACCCUUUUAAGCCUCGUUUUCAGAAAGAAAUGGCGACUCGUUAAUUAUGCUCCCGUCUUCCUGGAUGGAUGGAAGGAUCGUUAACAAGGUAGAAGAUCCCUCUGAUUCUGUCGUCGGACCAGCGCUUCCUGUAGCUAGGUUUUUAUGCAUUGUUUGGAUAAUCAUUCCUCAGCCGACCACCCUUCUUCUCACCUUCGCAGUAAUAUGGCUGGAUAGUCCAGUAUCGAUGGUUACAACUAAAAAGACUGUUUAAGUUUGUUCCUUAAGAGCUUUACGUGUUAUUGUUCUUGUCGCAUGACUGAGCAUUAUGGGCGUCUCCUUGUUGUGCACAACAUACAUGGAAAUCGCGAAGGUUGCAUCUGCGUACUUGAUAGCCUCUAUGACCUUGUGAGAUUGACAUCCUCUGGCAGGUCUAAUAGCAGUUUGAUAAGUGCUUGAAGCUUGAUAUGCAUUUCUAAGCUGAUUCCUGUUGACCAAGAUUACAAAAACAUGCAAUAAUGACAAGCUAGGGGUAAGGGAAGCCCUGCCAGACUAUUGCCAAAAGAGAUGCAUUCGGAUGUUGACCUCCUGACUUUUUUUGACUUGAAGGUGUUAAGGUCUUUCUCACAUUUGUGAGCAAAUUGGGGGUGAAGUGCAAGG